rnacentral:rRNA from 1 species
AAAUUGAAGAGUUUGAUCAUGGCUCAGAUUGAACGCUGGCGGCAGGCCUAACACAUGCAAGUCGAGCGGAAACGAGUUAUCUGAACCUUCGGGGGACGAUAGCGGCGUCGAGCGGCGGACGGGUGAGUAAUGCCUAGGAAAUUGCCCUGAUGUGGGGGAUAACCAUUGGAAACGAUGGCUAAUACCGCAUGAUGCCUACGGGCCAAAGAGGGGGACCUUCGGGCCUCUCGCGUCAGGAUAUGCCUAGGUGGGAUUAGCUAGUUGGUGAGGUAAGGGCUCACCAAGGCGACGAUCCCUAGCUGGUCUGAGAGGAUGAUCAGCCACACUGGAACUGAGACACGGUCCAGACUCCUACGGGAGGCAGCAGUGGGGAAUAUUGCACAAUGGGCGCAAGCCUGAUGCAGCCAUGCCGCGUGUGUGAAGAAGGCCUUCGGGUUGUAAAGCACUUUCAGUCGUGAGGAAGGUAGUGUAGUUAAUAGCUGCAUUAUUUGACGUUAGCGACAGAAGAAGCACCGGCUAACUCCGUGCCAGCAGCCGCGGUAAUACGGAGGGUGCGAGCGUUAAUCGGAAUUACUGGGCGUAAAGCGCAUGCAGGUGGUUUGUUAAGUCAGAUGUGAAAGCCCGGGGCUCAACCUCGGAAUUGCACUUGAAACUGGCAGACUAGAGUACUGUAGAGGGGGGUAGAAUUUCAGGUGUAGCGGUGAAAUGCGUAGAGAUCUGAAGGAAUACCGGUGGCGAAGGCGGCCCCCUGGACAGAUACUGACACUCAGAUGCGAAAGCGUGGGGAGCAAACAGGAUUAGAUACCCUGGUAGUCCACGCCGUAAACGAUGUCUACUUGGAGGUUGUGGCCUUGAGCCGUGGCUUUCGGAGCUAACGCGUUAAGUAGACCGCCUGGGGAGUACGGUCGCAAGAUUAAAACUCAAAUGAAUUGACGGGGGCCCGCACAAGCGGUGGAGCAUGUGGUUUAAUUCGAUGCAACGCGAAGAACCUUACCUACUCUUGACAUCCAGAGAACUUUCCAGAGAUGGAUUGGUGCCUUCGGGAACUCUGAGACAGGUGCUGCAUGGCUGUCGUCAGCUCGUGUUGUGAAAUGUUGGGUUAAGUCCCGCAACGAGCGCAACCCUUAUCCUUGUUUGCCAGCGAGUAAUGUCGGGAACUCCAGGGAGACUGCCGGUGAUAAACCGGAGGAAGGUGGGGACGACGUCAAGUCAUCAUGGCCCUUACGAGUAGGGCUACACACGUGCUACAAUGGCGCAUACAGAGGGCGGCCAACUUGCGAAAGUGAGCGAAUCCCAAAAAGUGCGUCGUAGUCCGGAUUGGAGUCUGCAACUCGACUCCAUGAAGUCGGAAUCGCUAGUAAUCGUGGAUCAGAAUGCCACGGUGAAUACGUUCCCGGGCCUUGUACACACCGCCCGUCACACCAUGGGAGUGGGCUGCAAAAGAAGUAGGUAGUUUAACCUUCGGGGGGACGCUUACCACUUUGUGGUUCAUGACUGGGGUGAAGUCGUAACAAGGUAGCGCUAGGGGAACCUGGCGCUGGAUCACCUCCUUA